AUUGAACGCUGGCGGCAUGCCUUACACAUGCAAGUCGAACGGUAACAGGGCUUCGGGUGCUGACGGGUGGCGAACGGGGGAGGAAUACAUCGGAACGUGCCCGAUCGCGGGGGAUAACGAGUCGAAAGCUUUGCUAAUACCUCAUACGAUCUACGGAUGAGAUCGUGGGAUCGUCGGAGUUCGCGCGGACGGAUGGGCCGAUGGCAGAUUAGGUAGGUGGUGGGAUAAAAGUUUACCGAGCCGACGAUCAGUAACUGUGAGGAGAGGAUGAUCCGACACCCUGUGACUGAGACACGGCCCCGACUCCUGCGGGAGGAAGCAGUGGGGAAUUUUGCACAAUGCGCGAAAGCCUAAUACAGCCAUGCCGCGUGCAGGAUGAAGGCCUUUGGGUUGUAAACUGAUUUUGUACGGAACGAAAAGCAUCUUUCUAAUAAAGAGGGGUCAUGACGGUACCGUAAGAAUAAGCACCGGCUAACUACGUG
rnacentral:rRNA from 1 species